GAUGAACGCUGGCGGCGUGCCUAAUACAUGCAAGUCGAGCGAACAGACGAGGAGCUUGCUCCUCUGACGUUAGCGGCGGACGGGUGAGUAACACGUGGAUAACCUACCUAUAAGACUGGGAUAACUUCGGGAAACCGGAGCUAAUACCGGAUAAUAUAUUGAACCGCAUGGUUCAAUAGUGAAAGACGGUUUUGCUGUCACUUAUAGAUGGAUCCGCGCCGCAUUAGCUAGUUGGUAAGGUAACAGCUUACCAAGGCAACGAUGCGUAGCCGACCUGAGAGGGUGAUCGGCCACACUGGAACUGAGACACGGUCCAGACUCCUACGGGAGGCAGCAGUAGGGAAUCUUCCGCAAUGGGCGAAAGCCUGACGGAGCAACGCCGCGUGAGUGAUGAAGGUCUUCGGGUCGUAAAACUCUGUUAUUAGGGAAGGACAAAUGUGUAAGUAACUAUGCACGUCUUGACGGUACCUAAUCAGAAAGCCACGGCUAACUACGUG
rnacentral:rRNA from 1 species